CAAUAGCGUAUAUUAAAGUUGUUGCAGUUAAAAAGCUCGUAGUUGGAUUUGUGGCGUACGGUGUGUUCCGGGCACUUGUUGUCUGAGUAACCUGCUGUUGCCAUCCUUGGGUGGAACCUGUGUGGCAUUAGGUUGUCGUGCAGGGGAUGCCCAUCAUUUACUGUGAAAAAAUUAGAGUGUUCAAAGCAGGCUUAUGCCGUUGAAUAUAUUAGCAUGGAAUAAUGAGAUAGGACUUUUUUGCUAUUUUGUUGGUUUGCGCAAAGAGGUAAUGAUUAAUAGGGACAGUUGGGGGUAUUCGUAUUCCAUUGUCAGAGGUGAAAUUCUUGGAUUUUUGGAAGACAAACUACUGCGAAAGCAUUUACCAAGGAUGUUUUCAUUAA
rnacentral:rRNA from 1 species